AAACAUCGCCUUCUGCAGUAUAUAGGAGGUCCAGCCUGCCCAGUGACCAAGUUAAACGGCCGCGGUACCCUAACCGUGCGAAGGUAGCGCAAUCACUUGUUCUUUAAAUGAGGACUAGUAUGAAUGGCAUCACGAGGGUUACACUGUCUCCCACCUCUAAUCAGUGAAACUGAUCUCCCCGUGAAGAAGCGGGGAUAAAACUAUAAGACGAGAAGACCCCAUGGAGCUUCAAACCCGGCAUCAACCAUUAACAUUAAUACCACAUUAAAUAAAUGGACCUGACUGCUGGUUUUAGGUUGGGGUGACCGCGGAGCAUAACAAAACCUCCAUGAUGAACGACCUCCUCUCUAAUCCGAGAGCCACCACUCAAAGAAUCAAAAAAUUGACAUUUAUUGACCCAAACUAUUUUGAUCAACGAACCAAGUUACCCUGGGGAUAACAGCGCAAUCCAUUUCAAGAGCCCCUAUCGACAAAUGGGUUUACGACCUCGAUGUUGGAUCAGGGUAUCCUAGUGGUGCAGCCGCUACUAAAGGUUCGUUUGUUCAACGAUUAAAACCCUACGUGAUCUGA
rnacentral:rRNA from 1 species